GUCAGGUGUGGUGGUACACACCUGUAGUCCCAGCUACUCGGUAGGCUGAGGCAGGAGGAUCACUUGAGCCCACGAGUUCUAGGUUGCAGUGAGCUAUGCCAAUCAGGUGUCUGUGCUAAGUUUGGCAUCACUAUGGUGACCUCUCAGCAGUAAAAAAACCACCAGGUUGUCUAAGGAAGGGUGAACCAGCCAGGUCAGAAACAGAGCAAGUAAAAAUUCUCAAGCUGAUCAGUAGUAGGAGUGUGGCUGUGAAUAGCCACCGCGCUCCAGCCUGGGCAACAUAGCAAGACCUGGUCUCU
rnacentral:SRP_RNA from 1 species